rnacentral:rRNA from 1 species
CCUACGGGAGGCAGCAGUGGGGAAUUUUGGACAAUGGGCGCAAGCCUGAUCCAGCAAUGCCGCGUGAGUGAAGAAGGCCUUCGGGUUGUAAAGCUCUUUUGUCAGGGAAGAAACGGUCUACUCUAAUACAGUGGGCUAAUGACGGUACCUGAAGAAUAAGCACCGGCUAACUACGUGCCAGCAGCCGCGGUAAUACGUAGGGUGCAAGCGUUAAUCGGAAUUACUGGGCGUAAAGCGUGCGCAGGCGGUUAUAUAAGUCAGAUGUGAAAUCCCCGGGCUCAACCUGGGAACUGCAUUUGAGACUGUAUGGCUAGAGUGUGUCAGAGGGGGGUAGAAUUCCACGUGUAGCAGUGAAAUGCGUAGAUAUGUGGAGGAAUACCGAUGGCGAAGGCAGCCCCCUGGGAUAACACUGACGCUCAUGCACGAAAGCGUGGGGAGCAAACAGGAUUAGAUACCCUGGUAGUCCACGCCCUAAACGAUGUCUACUAGUUGUCGGGACUUAAUUGUCUUGGUAACGCAGCUAACGCGUGAAGUAGACCGCCUGGGGAGUACGGUCGCAAGNUUAAAACUCAAAGGAAUUGACG